rnacentral:tRNA from 1 species
GCCUGGCUAGCUCAAUGGCUAGAGCGUUUGACUUUUAAGAAUUAAAAACUUAAGAGGUAUCAAAAGGUUGCGGGUUCGACCCCCGCGUCGGGCU